rnacentral:rRNA from 1 species
AUGACCGUGGCGCUCGAGGAUGUUGCCUUGAUCAUCGGGCUUCCUAUCGAUGGGAGGCCUCUAUGUAUGAGCACUGAUUCUGAUGGGUGGCGCUAGCAGAUGAUUGCUCUUAUCAGUAUGGCUCCUACCGAGGAUGAGGGAGAAGAGAAGAAGAAGAAGGAAAGGAAAGCCGAUGGAGCUGCUUUCACGUGGAUUCAAAGCAACUUUGAGCAUUGCCCUGCGGAUGCCACUGAUGAUGUGGUACAGACACGUGCUCGUGUCUAUAUGUGGUACGUUGUCUCGAGGGCUUUGUUUCCUGAUUCCACAGGCAAGAACGCUCCAUGGAUGUGCCUGAAGGCGUUGACCGUCUUUGAUAGCGGAUGA